rnacentral:sRNA from 1 species
GAAAGGCUGUUUUGGAUUCAACCUCUGUUUAGGAAGAUUUGCUGUACUCAUUG